UGCUAGAAAGAGCCGAUUCGCUGAAAUGAACGGUAGGCGGUCCUUCUCCUUUAAAUAUCCCAGAAUUCCUCGCACCGGUCACACGUGUUCAUUGCUUCCUGCACGCGAUCGGUUGGAGGCAGCAUGAGCGGACGCAGUAUGGGUGUUGAUGAUCCAUCUAAACCCCCUGACUGAAGAAACCUUAGUUUCUACGAUGUGUUACCUAUGAAGGCUCAAACAUUGUUUUAGCCAUGAGGCUACAGUUGUGCUGAGGAAUCUUUCUCUAGCUGUUACUUGCUAAUGGAGGAAAAUGUAAGAACUACAGUCAUUAGAUUCCAUUGAUGGCUUCAUUUUGGGGCACAUGUAUUCGGUGACUGGUUGCUUGUUCCUCAGCAGUGAUGCAACUUGAAUGGAGCUAAUUUUAUUGCUAUGUCUGGAGCAAUAAAAUGAAACGUCUGAAAUGAACAUUUGUUGUAAACAUCUGUUUAUGCAUUACAUAAAUGUUUUUAUGUAUUGAUUGUUACCAAUAAAGAAAUGCUUGCUUGUAA